rnacentral:misc_RNA from 1 species
UCUCCGUUGGUGAACCAGCGGAGGGAUCAUUAAAGAAUUUCAAAACUCCUAAACCAUUGUGAACAUACCGUCAACGUUACUUCGGCGAUUUGGCUCCGGUCUCCUGGGUCCCCGGCCCUCACGGGCGCCCCCCGGCGGCACCUAUCUCUUGCACUUUUAUGUCCUCUCUGAGUCUUUCUACCUAAUAAGUCAAAACUUUCAACAACGGAUCUCUUGGUUCUG